ACGAAAUGUUCAAUUAGCUAAAUUCAAUAGGAAACUGUUAUAUGGACUGUUAGAUAUGUAAUUCGUCUGACGUUCCGUGUGUCAUGUGGUUCGUCUGAGUUCAUUGUUUCAUUGUUGUUGUCUUGUGGGACUGUCGUAGUAAAAUGUCAUUGAUAUAUAUAUGGCGGACAUGACUUUUGUUUAUUCAUAACGAACAUUGGAUACACACUGCUGCCUGUCAUGAGGCGUGGGAAAGAUUUUCAUCAGUUCCAGCCAGGGCUCCAGGAGAGUAACACGUAUUCUCAUGUUUCUGUCUGAACUCAACACCAUGUGGAAAAUAUUUAAUGGACAAACAUUCUAGAACUUAAUAGCUGAUUAUGAGACUUCAGAGCAUUGAACAGCAGCCAUGAUACUAGUUGUCAUUAUGAUACCAGCAUGAAUCAUCAUGAUACAGAUUCUCUGAAAUUGGUUAAAUGGAUACAGAUGAUGUUCUAAUUGAACUAUUACAUGUCUGCACCUGAGGCUAGACACGUGCGGUUACAGAAUUCCUGGGGGUUGACAUUCUGAAGAGAAAAGAUUGAGAAAGUAUAUUGUAUGGGACGUGAGUUGGGGUGGGAGAUGGAGUAGGUGUGUUAAAUCAGUCAAGGUGGUGAUGUAUGCGGAAGCCAUUGCGGUAGUAGUGGUAAAAUAGGCAUAGUAAUGUGACAACAUGAGAGUUUGACAUUGAAUGAAGUGUGAACCCAUGCCAUUCAGCCAGACACCUGCAUUUUUGGCACAGUCUGGAUGUUUUGAAUGUAGCAGCAGCAUCACUAUCUUUGAUGUGGGACCUACCCUUAUUCUGUUGUAAUCUCACUUUAGCUUUGUAGAGUUUUAUCAACUGUUCUGAGCUGAAAUUAUUUUCAGGCUCUGAAGAAGUCUGGGCUUCAGGAUACAGUUUUUGUAUGUUGUGGAUGUAAGAUCACCGGGAAAGAUCAUCAGUGAUUGUGAAACCUAACAUUCCUAAAGACUCUAAGAUCUUACAAUUAAUGCUAUAAUUAAUAAUACCUAACUAAAUCUAUUAUUACAGCUUAUAGAUAUUACUAUAUUAAAUGUGAUAAUAAAAUUAAUAUGAUAAUUGAUGUUCUUGCUAAUUACAUUGUAUAUAACCAGUAUUAUAGUCAGUCAUAUAGAUGGAUCCCUGUCAGAAUUUCCAACAUUGAGUUUUCAGCUGAGCAAUCAACUGACCUAUCAAAUUCAUUAAAUUAAGUGACUGAGUAUUCUACAGACAUAUCUAUUCUGAAUGUAAUUUUCGAAUCAGUGUGGCAAGGAGAACAUUUGAAUUUGAUGGCUCUCUACACAGUUUCCAUCUGCCCAAUGUCACUCAUAAGUUAUGAGUCAACUCACGGGUAUAGGAAAUAACCCCAACCUAAACUGCCAUGUAGUAGGAUUGAACCAAGUCCUCAUAAUUACUAAGUGAAUUUCUAAAUCUCUGUAGUCAAUAAUAUACUACAAUUUUGACGCUCUAAAAUAUCAUAUAUAUCACGUUAGUAUAUAUCACAUUCAUUUAUAUGUUUAAUGAUAGAGUCAAGAUAGUUAAUUCUAUAGUCAACCCUUUAGCAUUUAAAAUGGUCAUAUCCAGCUAAAGCAUUUUACCUGUUUUAUACCCAAACUGACCAGAUCUGGCCUCUCGUAUCUUAGCCUACAAUAUCAUUCUAAAACUAAAUAAUCACAUCAUCAAAAUCUUGAAGCUACGAGAUAUUGCAGGAUUAAUUCAAAACAAUGUGAAUAAACACGCAUUGGAGUGGUUGGCGUUAGGAAGGGCAUCCAGCUGUAGAAACUCUGCCAAAUUUAGAUUGGAGCCUGGUGUUGCCAUCCGGUUGCACCAGUCCUCAGUCAAAUCGUCCAACCCAUGCUAGCAUGGAAAGCGGACGUUAAACGAUGAUGAUGAUGAUGAUGCACUUGUCAGAAUAAUCUGAAUGCUAAAGAGUUAACACUAGAGUAGCUAUAGAACACAGAUAAACCUAUAUUUAAUAGACAUAUAAUCUAUAAAUUACACUCUAUAUAUAGUCAUUUGAUCAUUAUAUAUGAUCUAAAGAUUAUAUUUAACAUUAUAGUCCAGAGAUGAUACCAUUGGAAAUACCACAGAUAAUAAUAUACUUGAUAGGAAUGAAACGUAAUACUAUAAUAUAUUGAUAAAACUAUUGUUGAUGGUGUGUGUGUGUGUGUGUGUGUGUGUGUAUAAAACAAUAAGUCAUACAGUUAAUAAUGUGGUAGGUGUAGAUUAUAUUGUAGUUACUACUAUAGCAUAGUUAAAUGGUGCAGUUAAUAAGCAAUAAUAUAUCAUAGUGGACAGCAUUACAGCUAUACAGGACAUUACAACUACACAGGACAUUAUAACUGUUCUGGACAUAGUUGUCAGUCUCGUUACUGAAAUACAUCAGAUGAUGUACCUUUACCGUUACUAGCAAGAGCAGUAGUAGCAACAACAACAGCACCAGCGGUGCCAGCAGUAGCACUACCACACCAUCAUCACCACCAUCAGUAAGUAGGACCAUCACUAGCACCAUCAUUACCAUUACCAGUAAAAGCACCAAUAGUAAUAACAACACUAUCAGCACCACCACUACUGCCACUACCCCCACCAUCACUACGACUAUCGUUAGUAAAACCACUAGUCAAUAGUGCCACUCACUAUCACUAGCACUACUACCAACAACACUACCACUAUCACCACCACAACCACCACCACUCUCACUGCCACUACACCAGCAACAGCAGCAUCAACAACAGUAGGGAUCGACAACAGAACGGUGAGCAACUGUAGCUGAUGUUAAUGGUGGUGUAGCUGGUGAUGUUCAACCCUGAUUGAACAGAUCUAUGAUCAAAAACAUUCCAGUAUUGACCAUCCCAUCUUUCUGAGUAACAGGGAUUACAUUUCUGCAAUGUGUCCUUUUUUUGUUUGAAGAUGGCAGUGUUUAAUUCAAAUGAAUUUACCUGUUAUUUCUAGAAAGUUGAAAGACUGCAUUGAAGCUCAUUGGCCCGGGUGUUCUU